rnacentral:rRNA from 1 species
GCGGACGGCUAUAGGAGGGAGGGCCACACCCGGUCUCAUACCGAACCCGGAAGUUAAGCCUCCCUCCGCCGUCGCGAGUACUGAGGUCCGAGAGGCCUCGGGAAAGCGCGGUGCUGUCCGCC